GGGAAGGUAGCUCAGUGGUAGAGUACUUGCCUUGCAUGCAUGAGGCCCUGGGUUCAAUUCCUCAGCACCACCU
rnacentral:tRNA from 1 species